AUUGAACGCUGGCGGCAUGCUUUACACAUGCAAGUCGAACGGUAACAGGUCUUCGGAUGCUGACGAGUGGCGAACGGGUGAGUAAUGCAUCGGAACGUGCCCAGUCGUGGGGGAUAACGCAGCGAAAGCUGCGCUAAUACCGCAUACGAUCUAUGGAUGAAAGCGGGGGACCGUAGGGCCUCGCGCGAUUGGAGCGGCCGAUGUCAGAUUAGGUAGUUGGUGGGGUAAAGGCCCACCAAGCCAACGAUCUGUAGCUGGUCUGAGAGGACGACCAGCCACACUGGGACUGAGACACGGCCCAGACUCCUACGGGAGGCAGCAGUGGGGAAUUUUGGACAAUGGGCGCAAGCCUGAUCCAGCAAUGCCGCGUGCAGGAAGAAGGCCUUCGGGUUGUAAACUGCUUUUGUACGGAACGAAACGGCCCUCUCUAAUACAGAGGGCUAAUGACGGUACCGUAAGAAUAAGCACCGGCUAACUACGUGCCAGCCGCCGCAGUAAAAC
rnacentral:rRNA from 1 species